GGAUGCAUGGCUUAAGUGGUAAAGCAUCUGUUUUGUAAGCACAAGGACAUGAGUUCAAACCCCUAUACUGUCA
rnacentral:tRNA from 1 species